GAAAACUGACUGUAAACUGCUUCCCAGAGUGUGCCGCUUGGCUUCCAGCCCCACGUUGAGAACACAGCCCUCCAAGCGCCCCCAGGUGUAUGACGCUUUCUUACCCGUUCUUCCUUCUCCUCAUGUGUUUUUAGGAACAUCCAAAGGGAAGAUAAUUAAAACCUGCAAGAAAACCAGCUGGCAGAGAAAAGGAAAAUCUUGGUGACUUAGUGACGACGCCACAUGUUUAUGGCAGGAGAAGUGUGCGUGCUACAGGCAUCCGUCACCAAGGCCAGAGCAACUUCCCAGUGUGGCAACUGCACAGACAGCUUCAAAAUGACAUUUUAGAAAUUAUAAAAUUCUUCAAGAAGAAGUCUUCAUAUAAGAAAAGGCAAGAGAAGCCUACAAAAGUCUUGCUAACACUGCUGUUUGAACGUGGAGCAAUGUUAAUAUCAGGUAGCUGACAAACAUUAUUACCCAAAGUUAGAACUACCCUAGAGGAGAACUCCGUCUGCCAAGUGCUAACAGCUAGCAGAUGCACUUGUGUCUCGGGAUUCCAGCCCUGGAGUUCCGCUAGGCACCGCGCUGGUUCCCUCGGCUC
rnacentral:antisense_RNA from 1 species